rnacentral:rRNA from 1 species
UACGUAGGGCGCAAGCGUUGUCCGGAAUUAUUGGGCGUAAAGAGCUCGUAGGCGGCCUGUCGCGUCUGCUGUGAAAUCCCGGGGCUUAACCCCGGGCGUGCAGUGGAUACGGGCUGGCUGGAGGCAGGCAGGGGAGAACGGAAUUCCCGGUGUAGCGGUGAAAUGCGCAGAUAUCGGGAGGAACACCGGUGGCGAAGGCGGGUCUCUGGGCCAUUACUGACGCUGAGGAGCGAAAGCGUGGGGAGCGAACAGG